GCCUGGGUGGCUCAAUGGGUUAAAGCCUCUGCCUUCCGCUCAGGUCAUGAUCCCGGGGUGCUGGGAUCAAGCCCCACCCCAGGCU
rnacentral:tRNA from 1 species